GCUGUGAUGGCCAAGGACUGAAGGAAGGUAGUGGACUCAAAAUCCAAUAAGGUUUCCCGGUGCAGGUUGAAAUCCUGCUCACAGUG
rfam:Callipepla squamata strain Texas jcf7180005234464, whole genome shotgun sequence.